rnacentral:rRNA from 1 species
UAGUCUGGGAAACGUGCCUGAUGGAGGGGGAUAACUACUGGAAACGGUAGCUAAUACCGCAUAAUGUCGCAAGACCAAAGUGGGGGACCGUUCGGGCCUCAUGCCAUCAGAUGUGCCCAGAUGGGAUUAGCUAGUAGGUGGGGUAAUGGCUCACCUAGGCGACGAUCCCUAGCUGGUCUGAGAGGAUGACCAGCCACACUGGAACUGAGACACGGUCCAG